rnacentral:rRNA from 1 species
GGAAAACCCUGAUGCAGCAACCCUGCGUGAGCGAUGAAGGCUUUCGGGUCGUAAAGUUUUUUCUUCAGGGAAGAAAAGACCGUACCUUAAGAAGAAACCCCGGCCAAAUUCGGUCCCGCCAGCCCGGGUAAUCGGUGGGGGCCAACGUUGUUCGGAAUUUACUGGGGUAAAGGGGGGGCAGGCGGAUUUUUAAGUUCAGAGUUGAAAGCCUGGGCUUCACCCGUAGUAAGCCUUUGAAACUGGGAAUCUUGAGUGCAGGAGAGGAGAGUGGAAUUCCUAGUGUAGCGGUGAAAUGCGUAGAUAUUAGGAGGAACACC